GAUGAACGCUAGCGGCAGGCUUCAUACAUGCAAGUCGAGGGGCAGCAUAAAUUACUUGUAAUUUGAUGGCGACCGGCGAACGGGUGCGUAACGCGUAUGCAACUUACCUUUUACUAGAGAAUAGCCAAGAGAAAUUUUGAUUAAUGCUCUAUGUUCUUAUUUACUCGCAUGAGUAAAUAAGCAAAGCUCCGGCGGUAAAAGAUGGGCAUGCGUCCUAUUAGCUUGUAGGUGAGGUAAUGGCUCACCUAAGCUCCGAUAGGUAGGGGUCCUGAGAGGGAGAUCCCCCACACUGGUACUGAGACACGGACCAGACUUCUACGGAAGGCAGCAGUAAGGAAUAUUGGACAAUGGAGGCAACUCUGAUCCAGCCAUGCCGCGUGAAGGAAGACGGCCUUAUGGGUUGUAAACUUCUUUUAUACAGGAAGAAACCUUUCCACGUGUGGAAAGCUGACGGUACUGUAAGAAUAAGGAUCGGCUAACUCCGUG
rnacentral:rRNA from 1 species